rnacentral:ncRNA from 1 species
CUGGCGGGACGACCCGACAGCGUCAAUUUUAAUUCGGGGACGGCCCCG